ensembl:snRNA U6 U6 spliceosomal RNA
GUGCUCCCUUCAGAGCACAUAUACUAAAAUUGGAUCAAUAAGAGAAGAUUAGCAUGGCCCCAGGGUAAGGAUGACAUGCAAAUUCGUGAAGUGUUCCAUAGUUAA